GCGGGGUGGAGCAGCCCGGUAGCUCGUCAGGCUCAUAACCUGAAGGUCGUAGGUUCAAAUCCUACCCCCGCAACCA
rnacentral:tRNA from 2 species